rnacentral:rRNA from 1 species
AGAGUUUGAUCCUGGCUCAGGAUGAACGCUAGCUACAGGCUUAACACAUGCAAGUCGAGGGGAAACGACAUCGAAAGCUUGCUUUUGAUGGGCGUCGACCGGCGCACGGGUGAGUAACGCGUAUCCAACCUGCCCACCACUUGGGGAUAACCUUGCGAAAGUAAGACUAAUACCCAAUGACGUCUCUAGAAGACAUCUGAAAAGAGAUUUAAAGAUUUAUCGGUGAUGGAUGGGGAUGCGUCUGAUUAGCUUGGUUGGCGGGGUAACGGCCCACCAAGGCGACGAUCGAGUAGGGGUUCUGAGAGGAACGGUCCCCACAUUGGAACUGAGACACGGUCCAAACUCCGUACGGGAGGCA